CCAGACUCCUACGGGAGGCAGCAGUGGGGGAUAUUGCACAAUGGGGGGAACCCUGAUGCAGCGACGCCGCGUGGGUGAAGGAGUAUUUCGGUAUGUAAAGCCCUAUCGGCAGGGAAGAAGCAAGACGGUACCUGACUAAGAAGCCCCGGCUAACUACGUGCCAGCAGCCGCGGCAAUACGUAGGGGGCGAGCGUUAUCCGGAUUCACUGGGUGUAAAGGGAGCGCAGGCGGCACGGCAGGUCCGGUGUGAAAGCCCGGGGCCCAACCCCGGGACUGCACUGGAAACUGCCGGGCUGGAGUGUCGGAGGGGCAGGCGGAAUUCCUAGUGUAGCGGUGAAAUGCGUAGAUAUUAGGAGGAACACCGGUGGCGAAGGCGGCCUGCUGGACGACGACUGACGCUGAGGCUCGAAAGCGUGGGGAGCAAACAGGAUUAGAUACCCGUGUAA
rnacentral:rRNA from 1 species